CCGCUUUGCUGAAGUUUCGUAAGUGAGCCUAGGAUACAGAGCUGCGGAGUGCCUCACAGUCAGUGAAAGGAGAAAGAUACAGUGGAGAGAAGCAGUAGGCAGACAAAGUUGCAACCUUCAAGUACUCCACAUUAAGCAGCAACGGGGACAAAACCAGCCAGCCUUUUCCAGAAUUUACUCUUGAAAUUUCAGUUGAGUUCACAUGGAAUUUGUGGCCUGCUGCAAGGCAAAGAUCCCUCCAGAGACCAGACAGGAUGUACUUGGGCUGGGACUUAAUUCGGCUGCUCACACACAGGCAUCUAUUACCAUCUGAGAUCCCUUAAGAAGUCUAAGAAGCACACGGGACUGGAAGACAUGACACACAGAACCUCGAUGAGCAGUUAGAUGUGUCCUGGCCUCCCCACUGGAUCUAGACUCAACUGCAAUGAAAGGUUCUGAAGGAGGCACAAGGAGGAUUCAGAAGAUCCAGGACCUUGCAUCACCUUUGGAAGCAUGAAGCAUAUUGAUUUGUGUGGAACGUUGCUGAUCCAGAAGAGGAGUCUACCACUGCUGGGGCCUUGUUCUCAACUUCUUCCCCUGGCUAUGCUGAAACACAAGUAGUAACUAAAACAUACUUCAGUUCUGAGAGAAGACCAAACCUAUUCCUUUGAUGCUGAGCAAAUCUAACUUCAGGGAAUACGCCUGCCAGCAGAUUCCCAGAACUCUGCUAGUUCAAAUCCCCGCCAGCACCCAGGAUCACAGGGCUGUGUGGAGAGGAGCCCAGGGGACAAAAGAGGACAAAUACCUCUCACUUGAGAGCUCACUAGAGAGUAUGCUCUAAUGGAGUCCUCCAAGUGUCCUUAAUUCUAUAUCUGUUCAGUGUGCCCAUGGUAUUGUCUGAUUUUUAAUUUUUGCACAGUUUCUGACGUAUCUCAUUACUACCUUGGCACCUGAGGGCUGUGAUUUGCAGUACAGGGUCCAUUCCAGACCACACUGAAUUAUAUCAGAAUUCCAAGGCAUGUUUGGCAGCUGCUAAUAGUGGCUGGCUAUUUUUAGAUUUAUUUUUUAUGUACUUCUCUCAGUUCAAAUCUGUCCUAUUUAAACUCUAUUUAAAAAAUACAGACCAAUUUCAGACCAGCAAUAUUUUUCUUUCAAUUUCAGGGGUAUAUUUCUCCUGCUUACAAAAAAGACCUUUUCACUUACCUUGCCUCUAAUUCAAUUUUUUCUAGACUGUGUUGUAACUAUUUUGAGCCUCAAUCUUUAUCUCACCAGGAACUGUGUGAAAUUGUCUCUCAGAAAGAGGAUUGAAUUCCCUCUUGAACCCUUUGCACAAAGGGAAAUUUUUUUCACACAUCCAGUGAUACCUAUUUCUGUAUUCUGAACAUAAGCAGGUCAGUAGAUAUCAGAUUUUUUAUGGCCCUGCCCCUUGGUCUUUGCUGUUUGAGUGCUGUCAGAUUUGCACUGCUCUAAUUCACAGAGCCAAAUUCAGUGACCCCCAGUGCUUGACAAUGGCUGGGGCUGUUUGCCGAGCUCAGGGCAGCAGAGGGAGUGGGAUUUGGCAGCUUCAGGGCCAGUAGCAGCAAGCAGAAGAAAACUUUUUCUGUCUUAUCUCAGCUGAACCCACACAGCUAUUGCCCUACGUGGACCUAAUUUUGUCCAAAACUCAUUGUUUUAGACAAUGAUAGGAGGGAAAUGUCAAGGGAAAAUGUACAGUUAAUUUUCCAAAGCAGCUGCCAAAACUGUCACAAACAUAUACAUACAGAGGAAAUAAUCAUACAGUACUAGUGAUGCUAAAUCCUCUCUGAAGCUGUUUUUAGCAUUUUACUGAGUGAUGACAUUCCCAAAGGAAGGAGGUGUGCCCUGUAGUCUAUCAGCAAAGUAUGAAAUGUAUUAGUAGGUCAUGCAAAAGUGAUUUGGCAAAAUCUCUAAUGCGAGCACAGUUAUUCCCAUUUUGGUUACAGUUUCAAGUUUGUUGUAACAUAGGAGCCACGUAUACAAACACUUGACAAAGUGAUAGGUAACAAAUGAGGAUUCUGCAACAUGUAGCGCUAUCACACCUUCUAAAGCACUGUCUCCACAAAAUAAUUUCCCUAAAAGAUUUAAAGCCUACUUGAUUUCUGACUGCCAGAGAUAUCAGCUUCCAUUUUCUAAUACUAGAUUUCUUUGGAAUGUGCAAUGGAGCAUGACAGCAGAUGAAAAAUCUGGCUUGUUUAGUGGCACGGUUUGGGGUUGAACAUUGGAAAGGGGAACUAGCUUUUUUUUUCUUGAUCACUGAUCACUGCUUGAAGCUUCCUCAGUACUGUGAAAUACUUAUAAUGAUUACAACUACUGCAAAUAAAUGUAUAUAAAGGGAAAAAGAAAUCUAGAAAGACAAUUUGAAUAUAAAGAUCUCCAGCUGGAAACAUAGGGAUAGACUCUUCUCUCUCUCUUUCUUGUAUAAAUUUGAAUUAUUCUAAAUUUUAAAAGGAAAAGAACUUACCUUGUUACAAAUUUGUGAGGUCAUACAGUGGCUUCUGA